CUACGGGAGGCUCCAGUGAGGAAUAUUGCACAAUGGGGGGAACCCUGAUGCAGCAACGCCGCGUGGAGGAUGACGCAUUUCGGUGUGUAAACUCCUUUUAUAUGUCAAGAAAAUGACGGUAGCAUAUGAAUAAGCACCGGCUAACUCCGUGCCAGCAGCCGCGGUAAUACGGAGGGUGCAAGCGUUACUCGGAAUCACUAGGCGCAAAGGACGCGUAGGCGGGUUGGAAAGUCAGGUGUGAAAUCCUACAGCUUAACUGUAGAACUGCACUUGAAACUUCUAAUCUAGAGUAUGGGAGGGGGAGAUGGAAUUAGUGGUGUAGGGGUAAAAUCCGUAGAUAUCACUAGGAAUACCUAAAGCGAAGGCGAUCUCCUGGAACAUUACUGACGCUAAGGCGUGAAAGCGUGGGGAGCAAACAGGAUUAGAUACCCGAGUAGUC
rnacentral:rRNA from 1 species